AGUGAACGCUGGCGGUAGGCCUAACACAUGCAAGUCGAACGGCAGCACAGUAAGAGCUUGCUCUUACGGGUGGCGAGUGGCGGACGGGUGAGGAAUACAUCGGAAUCUACUUUUUCGUGGGGGAUAACGUAGGGAAACUUACGCUAAUACCGCAUACGACCUACGGGUGAAAGCAGGGGAUCUUCGGACCUUGCGCGAUUGAAUGAGCCGAUGUCGGAUUAGCUAGUUGGCGGGGUAAAGGCCCACCAAGGCGACGAUCCGUAGCUGGUCUGAGAGGAUGAUCAGCCACACUGGAACUGAGACACGGUCCAGACUCCUACGGGAGGCAGCAGUGGGGAAUAUUGGACAAUGGGCGCAGGCCUGAUCCAGCCAUACCGCGUGGGUGAAGAAGGCCUUCGGGUUGUAAAGCCCUCUUGUUGGGAAAGAAAAGCAGCAGGUUAAUACCCCGCUGUUCUGACGGUACCCAAAGAAUAAGCACCGGCUAACUUCGUG
rnacentral:rRNA from 1 species